rnacentral:rRNA from 1 species
CAGACUUGCACUUGGUGUUCAUCAGGGUCUCGUACCCUGUGUACUUCAUCAAGUUCAGGCCAGCAUCAGUUUGAGUGGUUAGAUAAAGGCCUCUGUCACGUACCUUCUCUCGGGAAGGCCUUAUAGGGGAGGCGUCAUGCAACCAGUCUGGACUGAGGUCCGCGCAUCUGCUAGGAUGCUGGCGUAAUGGCUGUAAGCGG